AUUGAACGCUGGCGGCAGGCCUAACACAUGCAAGUCGAGCGGAUGAAGGGAGCUUGCUCCUGGAUUCAGCGGCGGACGGGUGAGUAAUGCCUAGGAAUCUGCCUGGUAGUGGGGGAUAACGUCCGGAAACGGGCGCUAAUACCGCAUACGUCCUGAGGGAGAAAGUGGGGGAUCUUCGGACCUCACGCUAUCAGAUGAGCCUAGGUCGGAUUAGCUAGUUGGUCGGGUAAAGGCCUACCAAGGCGACGAUCCGUAACUGGUCUGAGAGGAUGAUCAGUCACACUGGAACUGAGACACGGUCCAGACUCCUACGGGAGGCAGCAGUGGGGAAUAUUGGACAAUGGGCGAAAGCCUGAUCCAGCCAUGCCGCGUGUGUGAAGAAGGUCUUCGGAUUGUAAAGCACUUUAAGUUGGGAGGAAGGGCAGUAAGUUAAUACCUUGCUGUUUUGACGUUACCAACAGAAUAAGCACCGGCUAACUUCGU
rnacentral:rRNA from 1 species